CGGCAUUUAAAUGUACAAGGUGCCAUGAUGUCUAGUUGAGAGGAGAGGGUGGAAUUGUAGAAGGAGGUUGCAGAACUAGGACAGGUGAGGUUUGAGAUAAGUAAAAGGAGAGUUUGGAGAUUAGUGGAGAAAUGCUCUAGGUCAAGACAUUGGAGGUUUCUGUGAGAGUGAUGUUCAGACGGUGGUGUCAAUUGGGUCUUAGGUAUGCCAAUGUCAAAAGUCAGCAGAUGG
rnacentral:lncRNA from 1 species